GACGAACGCGGCGGCGUGCCUAAUACAUGCAAGUAGAACGCUGAAGAGAGGAGCUUGCUCUUCUUGGAUGAGUUGCGAACGGGUGAGUAACGCGUAGGUAACCUGCCUGGUAGCGGGGGAUAACUAUUGGAAACGAUAGCUAAUACCGCAUAAUAGCAGUUAUUGCAUGAUAACUGUUUGAAAGGUGCAAAUGCAUCACUACCAGAUGGACCUGCGUUGUAUUAGCUAGUUGGUGAGGUAACGGCUCACCAAGGCAACGAUACAUAGCCGACCUGAGAGGGUGAUCGGCCACACUGGGAUGAGACACGGCCCAGACCCCUACGGGAGGCAGCAGUAGGGAAUCUUCGGCAAUGGACGGAAGUCUGACCGAGCAACGCCGCUGAGUGAAGAAGGUUUUCGGAUCGUAAAGCUCUGUUGUAAGAGAAGAACGAGUGUGAGAGUGGAAAAUUCACACC
rnacentral:rRNA from 1 species